UGCGAGAGAGUAUUGGUCCCAUCACUAGACAGCGAACGCGAAACCCAACUGUGUGAGCAAGCGGAACGUGUCCUUGACUGCGCAAGUCCGCUAUGUCCUACACACCCACCUAUCGGACACCGUGAGCUGGAGCGGACCCCAACAGGAACGCACUGUGCACCGCUCCUGCCUGCGGGAUCUGUAUGCGUUCACCGAGCUUGAUCGAAAACGAGAAAACGAGUGAAGUGAGAAAGAGAGAAAGAGCGAAAAAAGAACAGAAAGAGAUAACCUCAUCGAGCCAAGACGAAUCAUGCUCGGAGGAAAGACCGGGAUUGUGGAAUGAUCUUAACGAGACGAGUAUAUACUAACAGAGAAGGAGCAAUUUCUAUGAGGUUCUUUCGAUCCCGUUUUCUUCCCUUUAAAAGUCCUUGUUGAAUAUAUCGAUAUUUUUUCCUGCUACAUAACCUCAACUAUCCUUGUAUCGUAAAAGAAAACGAUAGGCAGAACCUUCUUGUUCCUGGAGAUAAAAGUCUUGGUUUCCGGUUCGUUGAACUGGAACUGAGACGAAGUGUAUAAGAUUCGGUCUACGGAGCUUGAUCAUAGACGACCGGCUCUUAGGUUAGAAGAUAUCCGGAUUGCUUUGAAAUUACCGCGCGUACGAUUACUAUGACGAUUAAUUAACGAAUUAUUCACCAUUAUUGAAAUAUAAGAGUUACAGCAUGGGCGAGAAAUGAAAAAUACUCGGUGUUCGCGUAUAAUUAGCGGCCGUAGAGUUUCCUAGUCGCGACGUGAUGGUCGAGGUGAUCACGAGGAGGGAAAGGAGGAGUGGAUGGAUAGAAAGAGAAGGCAAGCGCAAUGAAUCAAAAGGAGAGGAACGAGUGAGAAAGAGGCAACGGAGAGAGGGCCACUGUCACUGCCAGGGCUACGGUGAGCCUAUUUUUAUUCUAACUAUGCAAAAGGGCCCAGAUACGGGGUAUGAAGGCAAAAGUCCCGCGGCACAGGAAGAGAAUGGCCAGAAACUAAGCGAGAAUUAGGAACGAGGAAACGUCUCGUGUUUAGCUAAGACUCGAGGCCGAUGACAUUCGUCCGAAACGAGGUUCCACGUACUACAAGCUUGUUUGUCCCGGCAACGGAGUUGUAGCCUUCGCUAGCGCACUAGGCUGGUAUUCGUCUGGUUCUCGGGCAGAAAGGCCGGAGAGAAAGAAGCGGACAAAGAGGAUCGUAGAACGAAAAAGGAAGGAGUAUUAGCGGAGGCACGAAAAGCGGAGGUACGAAGAGGAGGCGAUGCAGAAGGAGGUGAUGAAGAGGGGGAGGUGUGCGUCGCAGGACGUUCACCUUUCCUCUAUGGGCUUGCAAGAGGCUGGUUCGGGCCGCCAUUACACAAUCGUCGGGUUCGCUUGUCCGCUCCUCGGCCACGGCCGCCAUGUUGGUACCGGUCGGUGCGUCAACCAUGGUUCAAGAUCUUCACGGUGAAGGUCCCGCGGAGUUCCAUAGACGGGUACGCUAUGCCGCGCAUCAUGGAAUGUCUCUUUCGUUUCACGUGUUUCCAGAUCGAUAACGUUUGUAAGAAACGACGGAUAUGUCGUAAAUAAUUUUUUUUAAAGAAUUAAUUGAUAAAAUAUUUUUUAGGAUCUAUUAUUUUGUUUUUGACUUUGGAAUAAUGGAAAUGUUAAAAUUAAUAUAAUAAAAAAUUUUAUGCUAUAUCAUUAAGUAUAAGUAUAUUAAGUAUUAAUAAAUUUCAAUAUUUAAAAGUUAAAUUAAUCUUUUCGAAAUAAAUUUUCAAACUUUAUAAUUUAAAAUAACACGAAUUAAAUCUCCAAUACG